rnacentral:rRNA from 1 species
CCUACGGGAGGCAGCAGUGAGGAAUAUUGGUCAAUGGGCGGGAGCCUGAACCAGCCAAGUCGCGUGAGGGAAGACGGUCCUAUGGAUUGUAAACCUCUUUAGGCGGGGAGCAAUGCCGGGCACGCGUGCCCGGAGGGAGAGUACCCGCAGAAUAAGCAUCGGCUAACUCCGUGCCAGCAGCCGCGGUAAUACGGAGGAAGCGAGCGUUAUACGGAUUUAUUGGGGUUAAAGGGUGCGUUGGCGGAUUUUUAAGUCAGCGGUAAAAUGUCCGGGCUCAACCCGGGCCGGCCGUUGAAACUGGGGAGCUUGAGUGGGCGAGAAGUAUGCGGAAUGCGUGGUGUAGCGGUGAAAUGCAUAGAUAUCACGCAGAACUCCGAUUGCGAAGGCAGCAUACCGGCGCCCGACUGACGCUGAGGCACGAAAGCGUGGGGAUCGAACAGGAUUAGAUACCCUUGUAGUC